rnacentral:rRNA from 1 species
GUCUAUGGCCAUACCUCCUUGCACGCGCCUGAUCUCGUCUGAUCUUGAAAGCUAAGCAGGGUCGGACCUGGUUAGUGCUUGGAUGGGAAAUGCAGAUUUCAAGAGCUUUCUGUUCCUCCAUAGAUG